UUUCUCUCAGGAUAGGUAUAAGCAAAAAAU
rnacentral:piRNA from 1 species